GUGCGCGUCAUUAUUAGUGCGUAAAAUUUGUAAAACAUUGUGGUGUAAAUGUUUAAAAAGUUUUCCUAUCAUUACAGAAAAAAGUAGCCAAGUAAAACCGCAGCAAGGAUUACAGUGGCUUACAUUAGUUAAAAACCUAGUUACCUUAUAAACUAAAAGUUAAAAAAGAAAUAGUACGAUAAAAGUGGUUUACAAUACAAAAACCACAUACAGUGUAAAACCGCAGUCGACGAAACACAACAUUAAAAAGGUCCAAGAGGGCCUUUUUGUGUUUCUAUCCCAUUUGCUUAACAGCACGGCGCAGCAGAAAAACUAAACGGGCAGAAAGGAGCGGUCGGAAAGCCAAAAUCCGACUGACAAACACAUCAGCACGUCCCCUCGUGGUGAAUAACCAAACUACGGUGGUGACAUCCUGCAGAGGAUCGUGGGCUCUUCCGGGACGCCGGUAAAGAGCCUGUGAUACCCUGGGCGGUGCUGAAACAACCAGCCGUCCAGCCCUGCUCCAUAAAAUUUCGGCCAACAUCAACCGUACGCAAAAGGGUUCAGCGGAAGAAGAAACUUCAAUCGGCCGGCCAAAAUGUGCCUAAAAAAACCGCAAGUAUACCGUGUGACGUUAUUGUGAAGAAACACAUUUAGGGAAACCAAGUUUAUAAAUAAACC